UACAGAGGUCUCAAGCGUUGUUCGGAUUCAUUGGGCGUAAAGGGUGCGUAGGCGGCGCGGGUAAGUCGGGUGUGAAAUCUUGGAGCUUAACUCCGAAACUGCAUUCGAUACUGCCGUGCUUGAGGACUGGAGAGGAGACUGGAAUUUACGGUGUAGCGGUGAAAUGCGUAGAUAUCGUAAGGAAGACCGUGGCGAAGGCGGGUCUCUGGACAGUUCCUGACGCUGAGGCACGAAGGCCAGGGGAGCAAACGGGG
rnacentral:rRNA from 1 species